rnacentral:rRNA from 1 species
GACGAACGCUGGCGGCGUGCCUAAUACAUGCAAGUAGAACGCACAGUUUAUACCGUAGCUUGCUACACCAUAGACUGUGAGUUGCGAACGGGUGAGUAACGCGUAGGUAACCUGCCUGGUAGCGGGGGAUAACUAUUGGAAACGAUAGCUAAUACCGCAUAAUAUUGAUUAUUGCAUGAUAAUUAAUUGAAAGGUGCAAUUGCACCACUACCAGAUGGACCUGCGUUGUAUUAGCUAGUAGGUGAGGUAACGGCUCACCUAGGCGACGAUACAUAGCCGACCUGAGAGGGUGAUCGGCCACACUGGGACUGAGACACGGCCCAGACUCCUACGGGAGGCAGCAGUAGGGGAUCUUCGGCAAUGGACGAAAGUCUGACCGAGCAACGCCGCGUGAGUGAAGAAGGUUUUCGGAUCGUAAAGCUCUGUUGUAAGAGAAGAACGGGUGUGAGAGUGGAAAGUUCACACUGUGACGGUAUCUUACCAGAAAGGGACGGCUAACUACGUG